CGAGUGGCGGACGGGUGAGUAAUGUCUGGGAAACUGCCUGAUGGAGGGGGAUAACUACUGGAAACGGUAGCUAAUACCGCAUAACGUCGAAAGACCAAAGAGGGGGACCUUCGGGCCUCUUGCCAUCGGAUGUGCCCAGAUGGGAUUAGCUUGUUGGUGGGGUAAUGGCUCACCAAGGCGACGAUCCCUAGCUGGUCUGAGAGGAUGACCAGCCACACUGGAACUGAGACACGGUCCAGACUCCUACGGGAGGCAGCAUG
rnacentral:rRNA from 1 species